rnacentral:rRNA from 1 species
AGAGUUUGAUCAUGGCUCAGAUUGAACGCUGGCGGCAUGCUUUACACAUGCAAGUCGAACGGUAGAGGCUUCGGCCUUGAGAGUGGCGAACGGGUGAGUAAUGCAUCGGAACAUACCCAGUCGUGGGGGAUAACGUAGCGAAAGUUACGCUAAUACCGCAUACGUCCUGAGGGAGAAAGCGGGGGAUCGCAAGACCUCGUGCGAUUGGAGUGGCCGAUGUCAGAUUAGCUAGUUGGUGGGGUAAAGGCCCACCAAGGCGACGAUCUGUAGCGGGUCUGAGAGGAUGAUCCGCCACACUGGGACUGAGACACGGCCCAGACUCCUACGGGAGGCAGCAGUGGGGAAUUUUGGACAAUGGGCGCAAGCCUGAUCCAGCCAUGCCGCGUGCAGGAAGAAGGCCUUCGGGUUGUAAACUGCUUUCGGACGGAAAGAAAUCGCCACUUAUAAUACGGGUGGUGGAUGACGGUACCGUAAGAAGAAGCACCGGCUAACUACGUGCCAGCAGCCGCGGUAAU